GAGAGAGGAGCGCAAGAGCGAGAGUGCGCGCCUCGGGGCGAACGAGAAAUCAUAUCAGGUUGAAACUCCUGGCUGGAAAGUGACAAAAACACACCGAAAAACAAAACAAAAACAAACCCAAAGCACAGCACCUGUGAUGUGAUUGUUCCAACGCGCGCGUGCGCAAAAGGAGACCGCCGAGCCUUUCCGUCGGAGCGAGUGGUGGCAGGGCGAGCCAAGGGCCAUCAACGGCCCCCCCGGCUCUGAACUGUGUGUAACAUUGAAGCCUGCAUGGACCCUUUUCAAGUUCGAUGAUCAUUCAGUAUUAAAGGUUAAACUAGAGACUCGCACCGCUUCCGUAGUCCUGGUACAGACGGGGGAGGGGUUGCCGGGAGGCGUCUGUUCAGAUUCUGCUACUUAACUGUGUCAUGUGUACAUACUGUCAUUGUUUUUAUAUAUAUAUAAAUACCGGUGUAUAUAUAUUAUAAGCUGACUUGUCGUCAGUAAAA